GGCGUACGGGUGAGUAACACGUGGGCAACUUGCCCUAGAGACCGGGAUACCCUCUCGAAAGGGAGGCUAAUACCGGAUACGUUCUUCGGGUUGCAAGAUCUGGAGAGGAAAGGUGGCGCAAGCUACCGCUCUUGGAGAGGCUCGCGGCCUAUCAGCUAGUUGGUGAGGUAAUGGCUCACCAAGGCUAUGACGGGUAGCUGGUCUGAGAGGACGACCAGCCACACGGGAACUGAGACACGGUCCCGACUCCUACGGGAGGCAGCAGUGGGGAAUUUUCCGCAAUGGGCGAAAGCCUGACGGAGUGACGCCGCGUGGGGGACGAAGGCCUUCGGGUUGUAAACCCCUGUCAGAGGGAAAGAAGGGUGUCGACGUGAUAACCGCCGGCACUUGACGGUACCUUCAGAGGAAGCCCCGGCCAACUCUGUGCCAGCAGCCGCGGUAAGACAGAGGGGGCAAGCGUUGCUCGGAAUCACUGGGCGUAAAGGGCGCGUAGGCGGGAUGGCAAGUCGGUCGUGAAAUCUCUCGGCUCAACCGAGAAACGUCGGCCGAUACUGCCGUUCUUGAGGGAUGCAGAGGAGACUGGAAUUCCCGGUGUAGCGGUGAAAUGUGUAGAGAUCGGGAGGAACACCGGUGGCGAAGGCGGGUCUCUGGGCAUUUCCUGACGCUGAGGCGCGAAAGCGUGGGGAGCAAACGGGAUUAGAUACCCCGGUAGUCC
rnacentral:rRNA from 1 species